AUGAACGCUAGCGGCAGGCUUAAUACAUGCAAGUUGAGGGGCAGCAUGAUAUACGCGAGUAUAUUGAUGGCGACCGGCGGACGGGUGAGUAAUAGGUAGGAGACCUACCUCAUACAGGGGGAUAGCAUAGAGAAAUCUGUGGUAAUACCCCAUGAGGUUAUAUGAAUAGAGGCAUAUAAUCAAAGCAUAAGCGAUUAUGCGGUAUGAGAGGGGCCUACUGACCAUUAGCUAGUUGGUGAGGUAAGGGGCUCACCAAGGCGAAGAUGGUUAGGGGUUUUGAGAGAGAGACCCCCCACAUUGGAACUGAGAGACGGUCCAGACUCCUACGGGAGGCAGCAGUAGGGAAUAUUGGGCAAUGGGCGAAAGCCUGACCCAGCCAUGCCGCGUGAAGGAAGACGGCCUUAUGGGUUGUAAACUUCUUUACUACGCGAAUAGAGGUUAGUACGAGAUACUAAUAGGAAGGUAGUGUAGUAAAAAGCACCGGCUAACUCCGUG
rnacentral:rRNA from 1 species